rnacentral:rRNA from 1 species
ACUCCUACGGGAGGCAGCAGUGGGGAAUAUUGGACAAUGGGCGCAAGCCUGAUCCAGCCAUGCCGCGUGAGUGAUGAAGGCCCUAGGGUUGUAAAGCUCUUUCACCGGUGAAGAUAAUGACGGUAACCGGAGAAGAAGCCCCGGCUAACUUCGUGCCAGCAGCCGCGGUAAUACGAAGGGGGCUAGCGUUGUUCGGAUUUACUGGGCGUAAAGCGCACGUAGGCGGACUAUUAAGUCAGGGGUGAAAUCCCGGGGCUCAACCCCGGAACUGCCUUUGAUACUGGUAGUCUUGAGUUCGAGAGAGGUGAGUGGAAUUCCGAGUGUAGAGGUGAAAUUCGUAGAUAUUCGGAGGAACACCAGUGGCGAAGGCGGCUCACUGGCUCGAUACUGACGCUGAGGUGCGAAAGCGUGGGGAGCAAACAGGAUUAGAUACCCCAGUAGUCCCAUG